UCGAGAAUUUUUCUCAAUGGGCGAAACCCUGAAGGAGCGACGCCGCGUGGAGGAUGAAGGUUUUCGGAUUGUAAACUCCUGUCAUUGGGGAACAAUUGCAUGGGGAGUAACUGCCCUGUGCUUGAUAGUACCCGAAGAGGAAGAGACGGCUAACUCUGUGCCAGCAGCCGCGGUAAUACAGAGGUCUCAAGCGUUGUUCGGAUUCAUUGGGCGUAAAGGGUGCGUAGGCGGUAAGGUAAGUUGGAUGUGAAAUCCCGGAGCUCAACCCCGGAACUGCAUUCAAUACUGCCUUGCUAGAGUACUGGAGAGGAGAUUGGAAUUCACGGUGUAGCAGUGAAAUGCGUAGAUAUCGUGAGGAAGACCAGUGGCGAAGGCGAAUCUCUGGACAGUGACUGACGCUGAGGCACGAAGGCUAGGGGAGCAAACGGGAUUAGAUACCCCCGUAGUCC
rnacentral:rRNA from 1 species